rnacentral:rRNA from 1 species
UACGUAGGGUGCGAGCGUUAAUCGGAAUUACUGGGCGUAAAGUGUGCGCAGGCGGCAGAGCAAGUCGAGUGUGAAAGCCCCGGGCUUAACUUGGGAAUUGCGCUCGAAACUGCUUUGCUGGAGUGUGGCAGAGGAAGGUGGAAUUCCACGUGUAGCGGUGAAAUGCGUAGAGAUGUGGAGGAACACCAAUGGCGAAGGCAGCCUUCUGGGCCAACACUGACGCUCAUGCACGAAAGCGUGGGGAGCAAACAGG